UUGCUUGUUGGGGUUGUAGGACACUCUAUACGGAGUUACAAAGGACGACAUUAGACGAAUCAUCUGGAAAGAUGAAUCAAAGAAGGUAAUAAUCCUGUAGUCGAAAAUGUUGUCUCUCUUGAGUGGAUCCUGAGUACGACGGAGCACGUGAAAUUCCGUCGGAAUCUGGGAGGACCAUCUCCUAAGGCUAAAUACUCUCUAGUGACCGAUAGUGAACCAGUACCGUGAGGGAAAGGUGAAAAGCACCCCGGAAGGGGAGUGAAAUAGAACCUGAAACCGUGUGCUUACAAGUAGUCAGAGCCCGUUAAUGGGUGAUGGCGUGCCUUUUGUAGAAUGAACCGGCGAGUUACGAUUUGAUGCAAGGUUAAGCAGUAAAUGUGGAGCCGUAGCGAAAGCGAGUCUGAAUAGGGCGUUUAGUAUUUGGUCGUAGACCCGAAACCAGGUGAUCUACCCUUGGUCAGGUUGAAGUUCAGGUAACACUGAAUGGAGGACCGAACCGACUUACGUUGAAAAGUGAGCGGAUGAACUGAGGGUAGCGGAGAAAUUCCAAUCGAACCUGGAGAUAGCUGGUUCUCUCCGAAAUAGCUUUAGGGCUAGCCUCAAGUGAUGAUUAUUGGAGGUAGAGCACUGUUUGGACGAGGGGCCCCUCUCGGGUUACCGAAUUCAGACAAACUCCGAAUGCCAAUUAAUUUAACUUGGGAGUCAGAACAUGGGUGAUAAGGUCCGUGUUCGAAAGGGAAACAGCCCAGACCACCAGCUAAGGUCCCAAAAUAUAUGUUAAGUGGAAAAGGAUGUGGCGUUGCCCAGACAACUAGGAUGUUGGCUUAGAAGCAGCCAUCAUUUAAAGAGUGCGUAAUAGCUCACUAGUCGAGUGACACUGCGCCGAAAAUGUACCGGGGCUAAACAUAUUACCGAAGCUGUGGAUUGUCCUUUGGACAAUGGUAGGAGAGCGUUCUAAGGGCGUUGAAGCAUGAUCGUAAGGACAUGUGGAGCGCUUAGAAGUGAGAAUGCCGGUGUGAGUAGCGAAAGACGGGUGAGAAUCCCGUCCACCGAUUGACUAAGGUUUCCAGAGGAAGGCUCGUCCGCUCUGGGUUAGUCGGGUCCUAAGCUGAGGCCGACAGGCGUAGGCGAUGGAUAACAGGUUGAUAUUCCUGUACCACCUAUAAUCGUUUUAAUCGAUGGGGGGACGCAGUAGGAUAGGCGAAGCGUGCGAUUGGAUUGCACGUCUAAGCAGUAAGGCUGAGUAUUAGGCAAAUCCGGUACUCGUUAAGGCUGAGCUGUGAUGGGGAGAAGACAUUGUGUCUUCGAGUCGUUGAUUUCACACUGCCGAGAAAAGCCUCUAGAUAGAAAAUAGGUGCCCGUACCGCAAACCGACACAGGUAGUCAAGAUGAGAAUUCUAAGGUGAGCGAGCGAACUCUCGUUAAGGAACUCGGCAAAAUGACCCCGUAACUUCGGGAGAAGGGGUGCUCUUUAGGGUUAACGCCCAGAAGAGCCGCAGUGAAUAGGCCCAAGCGACUGUUUAUCAAAAACACAGGUCUCUGCUAAACCGUAAGGUGAUGUAUAGGGGCUGACGCCUGCCCGGUGCUGGAAGGUUAAGAGGAGUGGUUAGCUUCUGCGAAGCUACGAAUCGAAGCCCCAGUAAACGGCGGCCGUAACUAUAACGGUCCUAAGGUAGCGAAAUUCCUUGUCGGGUAAGUUCCGACCCGCACGAAAGGCGUAACGAUUUGGGCACUGUCUCAACGAGAGACUCGGUGAAAUCAUAGUACCUGUGAAGAUGCAGGUUACCCGCGACAGGACGGAAAGACCCCGUGGAGCUUUACUGUAGCCUGAUAUUGAAAUUCGGCACAGCUUGUACAGGAUAGGUAGGAGCCUUUGAAACGUGAGCGCUAGCUUACGUGGAGGCGCUGGUGGGAUACUACCCUAGCUGUGUUGGCUUUCUAACCCGCACCACUUAUCGUGGUGGGAGACAGUGUCAGGCGGGCAGUUUGACUGGGGCGGUCGCCUCCUAAAAGGUAACGGAGGCGCUCAAAGGUUCCCUCAGAAUGGUUGGAAAUCAUUCAUAGAGUGUAAAGGCAUAAGGGAGCUUGACUGCGAGACCUACAAGUCGAGCAGGGUCGAAAGACGGACUUAGUGAUCCGGUGGUUCCGCAUGGAAGGGCCAUCGCUCAACGGAUAAAAGCUACCCCGGGGAUAACAGGCUUAUCUCCCCCAAGAGUUCACAUCGACGGGGAGGUUUGGCACCUCGAUGUCGGCUCAUCGCAUCCUGGGGCUGUAGUCGGUCCCAAGGGUUGGGCUGUUCGCCCAUUAAAGCGGUACGCGAGCUGGGUUCAGAACGUCGUGAGACAGUUCGGUCCCUAUCCGUCGUGGGCGUAGGAAAUUUGAGAGGAGCUGUCCUUAGUACGAGAG
rnacentral:rRNA from 1 species